AACGUAGGAGGCUAGCGUUAUCCGGAUUUACUGGGCGUAAAGCGCACGCAGGUGGUUUCGUAAGUCGGACGUGAAAUCUCUCGGCUCAACUGGGAGGGGUCGUUCGGAACUGCGAGGCUUGAGGGCGAGAGAGGGAAGCGGAAUUCCCGGUGUAGCGGUGGAAUGCGCAGAUAUCGGGAGGAACACCAGUGGCGAAGGCGGCUUCCUGGCUCGUUCCUGACACUCAUGUGCGAAAGCGUGGGUAGCGAACGGG
rnacentral:rRNA from 1 species